GAGAGAGAGAGAGAGAGAGAGCAAAGGGGCACUGGGCACUGCCAGUAUGCAAUACAAUGAAGUCGAAAAAAAAAUCAGUCGUUUGCAUCGUUAAAGUCUCCUUUCCUUUCCUUUCCUUUGCUUC